rnacentral:rRNA from 1 species
GGGGGGUGCCCUAAAACAGGCAAGUCGAAGGUGGUGGUUUUUNAUACCCAUACGAAAGUAUCUUAGUGGCGAACGGGUGAGUAAGGUUUUGGUGACCUACCCCAAAGUGUGGGAUAACAGUUGGAAAGAACUGCUAAUACCCCAUGUGGUUAUCGGAUUUAGAAACUGAUAAUUAAAGGACCAAUUUGCUUUGGGAGGGACGUGCGUCCCAUCAGGCUAGUUGGUGAGGUAAUGGCUCACCAAGGUUACGACGGGUAGGGGACCUGAGAGGGUGACCCCCCACAAUGGAACUGAAACACGGUCCAUACACCUACGGGACGCAGCAG